AUGACACUCUCUUAAAUUUCAUUAAAGCAAUUGACUUGGUACACUGAACUGCCAGAAUAGAUGGACAUAAAGAUUCAAGUUUGUGCCCUCUUCUUUUGAGCSUCAAGCAAUUUACUAAGCAUGACUACAAUAAGUCAAAUAGGMCUCUUCAUCACUAUAAUAAAGAUUCUAUUUGGAAAUUCUUUUGGAGGAGAAUUCCCCGAGCCCGUGUUGUUUCUACCUCUYAAUAAACAAUACGGYACACGAGACAUCAGUAAGAGCAAUCUAACUACGACGKCUGUUG